UACGGGGGGGGCAAGCGUUGUUCGGAAUUACUGGGCGUAAAGGGUUCGUAGGUGGCCUGCUAAGUCAGACGUGAAAUCCCUCAGCUUAACUGGGGAACUGCGUCUGAAACUGGCGGGCUUGAGUGCAGGAGAGGAACGCGGAAUUCCAGGUGUAGCGGUGAAAUGCGUAGAUAUCUGGAGGAACACCGGUGGCGAAGGCGGCGUUCUGGACUGCUACUGACACUGAGGAACGAAAGCCAGGGGAGCAAACGGG
rnacentral:rRNA from 1 species